UGCGGUUUGAUGUAACAGCAACAUAUUCGGCUCAUGUCCGGAAAUCGUAGGUGCAAAUCCUAUAGCCGCGU
rnacentral:tRNA from 1 species